rnacentral:rRNA from 1 species
GAUGAACGCUGGCGGCGUGCCUAAUACAUGCAAGUCGAGCGAACGGACGAGAAGCUUGCUUCUCUGAUGUUAGCGGCGGACGGGUGAGUAACACGUGGAUAACCUACCUAUAAGACUGGGAUAACUUCGGGAAACCGUAGCUAAUACCGGAUAAUAUUUUGAACCGCAUGGUUCAAAAGUGAAAGACGGUCUUGCUGUCACUUAUAGAUGGAUCCGCGCUGCAUUAGCUAGUUGGUAAGGUAACGGCUUAUCAAGGCAACGAUGCAUAGCCGACCUGAGAGGGUGAUCGGCCACACUGGAACUGAGACACGGUCCAGACUCCUACGGGAGGCAGCAGUAGGGAAUCCUCCGCAAUGGGCGAAAGCCUGACGGAGCAACGCCGCGUGAGUGAUGAAGGUCUUCGGAUCGUAAAACUCUGUUAUUAGGGAAGAACAUAUGUGUAAGUAACUGUGCACAUCUUGACGGUACCUAAUCAGAAAGCCACGGCUAACUACGUG